GACAGAGGGUGCAAACGUUGUUCGGAAUUACUGGGCGUAAAGCGCGUGUAGGCGGCAACGCAAGUCGGAUGUGAAAUCCCAUGGCUCAACCAUGGAAGUGCACCCGAAACUGCGUCGCUAGAGUCCUGGAGAGGAAGGUGGAAUGCUUGGUGUAGAGGUGAAAUUCGUAGAUAUCAAGCGGAACACCGGUGGCGAAGGCGGCCUUCUGGACAGUGACUGACGCUGAUGCGCGAAAGCGUGGGGAGCAAACGGG
rnacentral:rRNA from 1 species